rnacentral:rRNA from 1 species
UGCGCUUAAUUCGACUCAACACGGGAAAACUCACCCGGCCCGGACACUGUGAGGAUUGACAGAUUGAUAGCUCUUUCUUGAUUCGGUGGUUGGUGGUGCAUGGCCGUUCUUAGUUGGUGGAGCGAUUUGUCUGGUUAAUUCCGAUAACGAACGAGACUUUGACCUACUAAUUAGUUUGCCUAUCCUCUGUGCUCGUGCAGGGCUCGGUUUCAGUUGCCUCCUUGAGGGGUGGUGGAGCCGUUGACCGGCGAGUACGGCGUGGUGCUUACUUCUUAGAGGGACAAGCGGCAUAGCAAGUCGCACGAAAUUGAGCAAUAACAGGUCUGUGAUGCCCUUAGAUGUCCGGGGCCGCACGUGCGCUACAAUGACGGUGCCAGCGAGCAUGGAAACCUGGCCCGAAAGUGGGCAAACUUUUCAUCACCGUCGUGANUGGGAUCGGGGCUUGCAAUUGUUCCCCGUGAACGAGGAAUUC